UACGUAGGCAGCAAGCGUUGUUCGGAUUUACUGGGCGUAAAGAGUGCGUAGGUGGUGCCCUAAGUCUGUUGUGAAAUCUCCCGGCUUAACUGGGAGGGUGCGGUGGAAACUGGGGUGCUUGAGUGUGGGAGAGGUAAGCGGAAUUCCUGGUAUAGCGGUGAAAUGCGUAGAUAUCAGGAGGAACACCGGUGGUGUAGACGGCUUACUGGACCACGACUGACACUGAGGCACGAAAGCGUGGGUAGCAAACAGG
rnacentral:rRNA from 1 species